UUUAUGGAGAGUUUGAUCCUGGCUCAGGAUGAACGCUGGCGGCGUGCCUAAUACAUGCAAGUCGAGCGAACGGACGAGAAGCUUGCUUCUCUGAUGUUAGCGGCGGACGGGUGAGUAACACGUGGAUAACCUACCUAUAAGACUGGGAUAACUUCGGGAAACCGGAGCUAAUACCGGAUAAUAUUUUGAACCGCAUGGUUCAAAAGUGAAAGACGGUCUUGCUGUCACUUAUAGAUGGAUCCGCGCUGCAUUAGCUAGUUGGUAAGGUAACGGCUUACCAAGGCAACGAUGCAUAGCCGACCUGAGAGGGUGAUCGGCCACACUGGAACUGAGACACGGUCCAGACUCCUACGGGAGGCAGCAGUAGGGAAUCUUCCGCAAUGGGCGAAAGCCUGACGGAGCAACGCCGCGUGAGUGAUGAAGGUCUUCGGAUCGUAAAACUCUGUUAUUAGGGAAGAACAUAUGUGUAAGUAACUGUGCACAUCUUGACGGUACCUAAUCAGAAAGCCACGGCUAACUACGUGCCAGCAGCCGCGGUAAUACGUAGGUGGCAAGCGUUAUCCGGAAUUAUUGGGCGUAAAGCGCGCGUAGGCGGUUUUUUAAGUCUGAUGUGAAAGCCCACGGCUCAACCGUGGAGGGUCAUUGGAAACUGGAAAACUUGAGUGCAGAAGAGGAAAGUGGAAUUCCAUGUGUAGCGGUGAAAUGCGCAGAGAUAUGGAGGAACACCAGUGGCGAAGGCGACUUUCUGGUCUGUAACUGACGCUGAUGUGCGAAAGCGUGGGGAUCAAACAGGAUUAGAUACCCUGGUAGUCCACGCCGUAAACGAUGAGUGCUAAGUGUUAGGGGGUUUCCGCCCCUUAGUGCUGCAGCUAACGCAUUAAGCACUCCGCCUGGGGAGUACGACCGCAAGGUUGAAACUCAAAGGAAUUGACGGGGACCCGCACAAGCGGUGGAGCAUGUGGUUUAAUUCGAAGCAACGCGAAGAACCUUACCAAAUCUUGACAUCCUUUGACAACUCUAGAGAUAGAGCUUUCCCCUUCGGGGGACAAAGUGACAGGUGGUGCAUGGUUGUCGUCAGCUCGUGUCGUGAGAUGUUGGGUUAAGUCCCGCAACGAGCGCAACCCUUAAGCUUAGUUGCCAUCAUUAAGUUGGGCACUCUAAGUUGACUGCCGGUGACAAACCGGAGGAAGGUGGGGAUGACGUCAAAUCAUCAUGCCCCUUAUGAUUUG
rnacentral:rRNA from 1 species